CCUACGGGUGGCAGCAGUGGGGAAUAUUGGGCAAUGGGCGCAAGCCUGACCCAGCAACACCGCGUGAAGGAAGAAGGUACUCGGGUUGUAAACUUCCUUUAUCAGGGACGAAGCAAGUGACGGUACCUGAUGAAUAAGCCUCGGCUAACUACGUGCAAGGAGCCGCGGUAAUACGGAGGCGGCAAUCGUUAUCCGGAUUUAAUGGGUGUAAAGGGCGUGUAGGCGGGAGUGCAAGUCAGGUGUGAAAACUAUGGGCUUAAACCACGGCCGGGAUUUGAAACUGUACUUCUUGAGUGCUGGAGAGGCAUGCGGAAUUCGGGGUGUAGCGGUGAAAUGCGUAGAUAUACGGAGGAACACCGGUGGCGAAGGCAGAAUGCUGGA
rnacentral:rRNA from 1 species